rnacentral:ncRNA from 1 species
AUCUUUGCACGAAAUUAAGGUUGUGUUACAAUUUAAAAAAACACAUUAAAAGGGAAUCAAGUAUAAUAAAUUCUUGAGCUGUACCCGCAACUGUAAGCUUUGUUCUAAAAAGUAUGCUUGUUGUUAUCUACAAAACCACUGCUCGCCCCGGCGAAUGGGAAGGUAAACAACAAGACGCAAGCCAGGAGACCUGCCUUUGUAACUAAUAUCGA